UAUUCAUCAGACUGAUAAGACCAACAGGUGUUAUUCUCAUGUGUGAUGUACAGAUCUGUGAAUACAUCUGCUGGUUUUUAUUAGGCUCGAUGAUAG